AUUGAACGCUGGCGGCAUGCCUUACACAUGCAAGUCGAACGGCAGCACGGGAGCAAUCCUGGUGGCGAGUGGCGAACGGGUGAGUAAAGUAUCGGAACGUGCCCAGUCGUGGGGGAUAACGUAGCGAAAGUUACGCUAAUACCGCAUACGAUCUAUGGAUGAAAGCGGGGGAUCGCAAGGCCUCGCGCGAUUGGAGCGGCCGAUAUCAGAUUAGGUAGUUGGUGGGGUAAAGGCUCACCAAGCCGACGAUCUGUAGCUGGUCUGAGAGGACGACCAGCCACACUGGGACUGAGGCACGGCCCAGACUCCUACGGGAGGCAGCAGUGGGGAAUUUUGGACAAUGGGCGAAAGCCUGAUCCAGCCAUGCCGCGUGCAGGAUGAAGGCCUUCGGGUUGUAAACUGCUUUUGUACGGAACGAAAAGGUUUGGCCUAAUAAGCUGAGCUCAUGACGGUACCGUAAGAAUAAGCACCGGCUAACUCUGUGCCAGCCGCCGCCGUAA
rnacentral:rRNA from 1 species